AUUGAACGCUGGCGGCAUGCCUUACACAUGCAAGUCGAACGGCAGCACGGGAGCAAUCCUGGUGGCGAGUGGCGAACGGGUGAGUAAUAUAUCGGAACGUGCCCAGUCGUGGGGGAUAACGCAGCGAAAGCUGUGCUAAUACCGCAUACGAUCUACGGAUGAAAGCGGGGGAUCGCAAGACCUCGCGCGAUUGGAGCGGCCGAUAUCAGAUUAGCUAGUUGGUGGGGUAAAGGCCCACCAAGGCGACGAUCUGUAGCUGGUCUGAGAGGACGAACAGCCACACUGGAACUGAGACACGGUCCAGACUCCUACGGGAGGCAGCAGUGGGGAAUUUUGGACAAUGGGCGCAAGCCUGAUCCAGCAAUGCCGCGUGCAGGAUGAAGGCCUUCGGGUUGUAAACUGCUUUUGUACGGAACGAAACGGCCCUUUCUAAUACAAGGGGCUAAUGACGGUACCGUAAGAAUAAGCACCGGCUAACUACGUGCCAGCCGCCGCGGUAAAAC
rnacentral:rRNA from 1 species